rfam:Aedes albopictus isolate Foshan contig88091, whole genome shotgun sequence.
UAGCUUAGUGGUUAAGGCUAUGGAUCACCAAUCCGGAGACGGCGGGUUCGAUUCCCGU